rnacentral:rRNA from 1 species
CCCUUAGAUGUUCUGGGCCGCACGCGUGCUACACUGAGUAAAUCAAUGGGUAAGGGAACACGAAAGUGCAACCUAAUCUUGAAAUUUGCUCGUGAUGGGGAUCGACGGUUGCAAUUUUCCGUCGUGAACGAGGAAUACCUUGUAGGCGCGUGUCAUCAUCACGCGCCGAAUACGUCCCUGCCCUUUGUACACACCGCCCGUCGCUCCUACCGAUUGAGUGAUCCGGUGAGGCUCUGGGACCUGGACGGAAGGAGCGUUUCGCUUGUUCUGUUUGGGAAACUUGGUCGAACCUUAUCAUUUAGAGGAAGGAGAAGUCGUAACA